GGAGAGGAAGAGGAAGCCCAGCCCAGGGAGAGACGCUGAGAGGAUGAAACUCUGACACGCCGACAGACCACAGGGAAACAAGAGCACAACUAUAAUUGCUCAGAAGGAAGCCCCCAGGAAGGUCACCCGAGAAACCCGCUGAAGGUGCCAAAGUGAAAUCUACAGGACUACAAUUACUUGGACAGACUUCGGCUGCAGAGCAAAGUGAAUGACAGUGACUGACUGCCGCUUGGCUGCACUCACACUGGACUGAGCCUCUGCAGCGAGAAGUCGUCUCCGACACCUGCAGCUUCACAGACAGGUUGUAUCUGACGGAGGGACCGGUGCCGCGCUCCCGUCCCCGCGCUCCUUCAGCAACAACACUGUCCUCCAGCACCCGUGGCAGCACCAGCACCAGCACCAGCACCAGCGUGACCCGACCAGGCCGACCGGCUUCACCUGUACAUGGAGACCCCCAGCUGGGCAGG